UGAACGCUGGCGGCAUGCCUUACACAUGCAAGUCGAACGGCAGCACGGGAGCAAUCCUGGUGGCGAGUGGCGAACGGGUGAGUAAUAUAUCGGAACGUGCCCAGUAGUGGGGGAUAGCCCGGCGAAAGCCGGAUUAAUACCGCAUACGACCUGUGGGUGAAAGCGGGGGAUCGCAAGACCUCGCGCUAUUGGAGCGGCCGAUAUCAGAUUAGCUUGUUGGUGGGGUAAAAGCCCACCAAGGCGACGAUCUGUAGUUGGUCUGAGAGGACGACCAGCCACACUGGGACUGAGACACGGCCCAGACUCCUACGGGAGGCAGCAGUGGGGAAUUUUGGACAAUGGGCGCAAGCCUGAUCCAGCCAUGCCGCGUGUGGGAAGAAGGCCUUCGGGUUGUAAACCACUUUUGUCAGGGAAGAAACGGUCCGAUCUAAUACAUUGGGCUAAUGACGGUACCUGAAGAAUAAGCACCGGCUAACUACGUGCCAGCAGCCGCGGUAAUACGUAGGGUGCAAGCGUUAAUCGGAAUUACUGGGCGUAAAGCGUGCGCAGGCGGCUUUGCAAGACAGAUGUGAAAUCCCCGGGCUCAACCUGGGAACUGCAUUUGUGACUGCAUGGCUAGAGUACGGUAGAGGGGGAUGGAAUUCCGCGUGUAGCAGUGAAAUGCGUAGAUAUGCGGAGGAACACCGAUGGCGAAGGCAAUCCCCUGGACCUGUACUGACGCUCAUGCACGAAAGCGUGGGGAGCAAACAGGAUUAGAUACCCU
rnacentral:rRNA from 1 species